rnacentral:rRNA from 1 species
GACGAACGCUGGCGGCGUGCUUAACACAUGCAAGUCGAACGGAAAGGCCCUGCUUUUGUGGGGUGCUCGAGUGGCGAACGGGUGAGUAACACGUGAGUAACCUGCCCUUGACUUUGGGAUAACUUCAGGAAACUGGGGCUAAUACCGGAUAGGAGCUCCUGCUGCAUGGUGGGGGUUGGAAAGUUUCGGCGGUUGGGGAUGGACUCGCGGCUUAUCAGCUUGUUGGUGGGGUAGUGGCUUACCAGGGCUUUGACGGGUAGCCGGCCUGAGAGGGUGACCGGCCACAUUGGGACUGAGAUACGGCCCAGACUCCUACGGGAGGCAGCAGUGGGGAAUAUUGCACAAUGGGCGGAAGCCUGAUGCAGCAACGCCGCGUGCGGGAUGACGGCCUUCGGGUUGUAAACCGCUUUCGCCUGUGACGAAGCGUGAGUGACGGUAAUGGGUAAAGAAGCACCGGCUAACUACGUGCCAGCAGCCGCGGUGAUACGUAGGGUGCGAGCGUUGUCCGGAUUUAUUGGGCGUGAAGGGCUCGUAGGUGGUUGAUCGCGUCGGAAGUGUAAUCUUGGGGCUUAACCCUGAGCGUGCUUUCGAUACGGGUUGACUUGAGGAAGGUAGGGGAGAAUGGAAUUCCUGGUGGAGCGGUGGAAUGCGCAGAUAUCAGGAGGAACACCAGUGGCGAAGGCGGUUCUCUGGGCCUUUCCUGACGCUGAGGAGCGAAAGCGUGGGGAGCGAACAGGCUUAGAUACCCUGGUAGUCCACGCUGUAAACGGUGGGUACUAGGUGUGGGGUCCAUUCCACGGGUUCCGUGCCGUAGCUAACGCUUUAAGUACCCCGCCUGGGGAGUACGGCCGCAAGGCUAAAACUCAAAGGAAUUGACGGGGCCCCGCACAAGCGGCGGAGCAUGCGGAUUAAUUCGAUGCAACGCGUAGAACCUUACCUGGGUUUGACAUGGAUCGGGAGCGCUCAGAGAUGGGUGUGCCUCUUUUGGGGUCGGUUCACAGGUGGUGCAUGGCUGUCGUCAGCUCGUGUCGUGAGAUGUUGGGUUAAGUCCCGCAACGAGCGCAACCCUUGUUCACUGUUGCCAGCACGUUAUGGUGGGGACUCAGUGGAGACCGCCGGGGUCAACUCGGAGGAAGGUGGGGAUGACGUCAAGUCAUCAUGCCCCUUAUGUCCAGGGCUUCACGCAUGCUACAAUGGCUGGUACAGAGAGUGGCGAGCCUGUGAGGGUGAGCGAAUCUCGGAAAGCCGGUCUCAGUUCGGAUUGGGGUCUGCAACUCGACCUCAUGAAGUCGGAGUCGCUAGUAAUCGCAGAUCAGCAACGCUGCGGUGAAUACGUUCCCGGGGCU